ensembl:lncRNA
GUCCCCGAGCCCUCUGGGAAGUGGAGUCCUUCCGCCGGGACCCCCGACCUGGCGCGGUCGCCUCCAAGUGCGCAGAUGCGACUCCAGACGGAGCCUCAGGCUCGAGCCUUUUGUUCCCCCACAGCUCCGUGUGUCCGGAAAGCGACUCCGUCCUCCCCUCCGUCUUUCCCAGAGCGCAGCCCGGCGGGGACCCGCCCUGUGGCCGGAGCCGAGUGGGCAGCGCGUCCAGGGAACUUCAGAGUAGAGUUGAAUGAUUUUCACAAAGAAGCAGAUUAUGUAUUGUUGGAAAGUCCAUGUUUAUCUCAUCUGACACAGCAAAUAAAGGAGAAAUCAUAGCAAUAACAGGACAAAAAAAGAGAAUCUAAUCAUGGAUUAUCUGACCAUUGAAGCUGAGGAAGAAGUCCUUCCAGCCAUUACUACCGAGGAUGCUUCUCUGCCCCAAAAACAGAACAUGGAAGAAAUGGAACCUACUGUUGAGCUCCUUCCUGUUGAGUUCCAGGAAUUGGUGACAGUCAAGGAUGAGGAAAUGGACUUCAGUCAUGUGGAGGAAGAAGAGCUGAAUUCUGCCCAAAGGUACAUGGGCAUUGAUAUGAAAGUGGAGAAUUGUGGGAGCCUGGUAUUUUGGGGUAAGGAAAUUAUUUUGUAAUGCAAACUGCUUACUGGGACAUAAACUUCCUCUAUAACUCAUGGCAUCUAAAAUGCCAUAGUUUUGCUUAAAAUCCAGAAAGCCCUGAUCUCCUAGGAGAUCCCUGAUCACUCUGGGCUCAGAAUUGGGCUUUUUUUCUCUUUUGGCAAGUAAAAGUUUACUAUUUCUGGUAUUGAAAAAGGAUAGCUUUAUUACAUUGGUUUUAAGAUUUAUAAAAUUAUAGUGACCAAAACAGUGUGGUACUGGUAUAGAUGUAAAUCGAUAGAACAGAAUAGAUAGUCCAGAAAUAGACCUGCACAUAUGUGGUCAAUUUUUUUUUGCAAUCAUUCAUUUUAUCUUUUUUUUUUUUUUAAGGAAUAGAAUUUAGUGUCUCUUAUGUUUUGUCUCCCUUUCUGUUUUUUAUCUUAAUUUUCACUUCCUUUUCCCUGUGUUCAUCUGUUUUGUUUCUUGAAUUCCACAUAUGCGUGAAAUCAUAUAUUUGUCUUUCUCUGACUUAUUCUACCUAGCAUAAUACACUCUAUUUCCAUCCGUGUUGUUGCAAAUGGCAAGAUUUCAUUCUUUUUGAUUGCCAAGUAAUAUUCCAUUGUAUAUAUAUACCACAUCUUCUUUAUCCAUUCGUCAUUUGAUGGACAUUUGGGCUCUUCCCGUAAUUUUGCUAUUGUCAAUAGUGUCGCUAUAAACAUUGGGGUGCAUGUGCUCCUUCAAAUCAGCAUUUUUGUAUCCUUUGGAUAAAUACCUAAUAGUGUAAUUGCUGGGUUAUAGGGUGUUCUAUUUUUAAUUUUUUGAGGAACCUCCAAACUUUUCCAGAGUGACUGCACCACGAACUGCAAGAUUAUGACCUGAGCCGAAGUCAGACACUUAACCAGCUGAACCACCCAGGCACCCCAUAUAGUUGGAUUUAAAUCUUACAUAUAGCUACUUGUCUUCUAUUUGUUCCAUCUAUUCCUUAUUCAUUUUUCUUUCUUUUUCACUUUUUUGGUUACAUAUUUUUUUACUCUAUUUUAUAUCCACAAUUAGCUUACCAUUAAACCUUAUUUAAAGUUCUUUUAAUGGUUGUCUUAGAGUUACCAAAUGCUUCUUUAAUUAAUCACAGUUAUCUAUUUUUAAAAUUUAUUUAUUUUGAGAGAGAGAGAGAGAGCAGAGGAGGGGCAGAGAGAGAGAGAGGGAGAAUCCCAGGCAGGCUCUGUGCUGUCAGCACAGAGCCCAAUGCAGGGCUCGAAUUCAUAAACCAUGGGAUCAUGACCUGAGCCAAAACCAAGAGUUGGACGCUUAACCAACUGAGCCAUGCAGGUACCCCAGUCACAGUAUAUUUUUAUUAUUUUUUAAUUUUUCUUAUUUUUUUUAAUUUUUAAAAUGUUUAUUAUUUUUGAGAGAGAGAGAGAGAGAGACAGAGAGCAAGCAGGGAAGGGGCAGACAGAAUCGGAAGCAGGCUCCAGGCUCUGAGCUGUCAGCAUAGAGCCCGAUACGGGGCUUGAACUCAUAGACCACAAGAUCAUGACCUGAGCUGUAGUCGGCAGCCCAACUGACUGAGCCACGGAGGCACCCCAAUCACAGUAUAUUUUUAAAGAGUAAUAUACCAGGGGCACCUGGGGGGCUCAGUCGGUUAAGCCUCCCACUUCAAUUCAGGUCAUGAUCUCACAGUUCCUGAGUUUGAGCCCCACAUCGGGCUCUCUACUGUCAGCACAGAACCUGCUUCAGAUCCUCUGUCUCCCUCUCUUUCUGCACCUCCCCUGCCAAAAAUAAGUAAACAUUUAUUAGAAAGAAAAAGAAUAUUAUACCACAUCAUAUCUGGUAUAAGAACCUUACUUCUGGAGACUUCUAAUUCCUCUCUCCCAUCUUUUGUAUAAUUGUUCUCAUGCAUUUUACCUUUACAUACACUAUAAAAUCACAAUACAUUGCUACUAUUUUUGUUUGACAUUCAAUUAUCUCUUAGAGUAAUUAAAAAUAAGAAAAAAAGGGGGGGUGGACCCUGGGUGGCUCAGUUGGUUAAGCUUCUGACUUUGGCUGAGGUCACGAUCUCAAAGUUCAUGGGUUUGAGCCCAGUGUCGGGCUCUGGGCUAAAAGGUAAGAGCCUGGAGCCUGCUUCAGAUUCUAUGUUUCUCUCUCUCUCUGCCCCUCCCCUGCUCAUGCUCUGUCUCUCUCAAAUAAACAUAAAAAAUUUUUUUAGUAAGAAAAAAAU